CCUACGGGAGGCAGCAGUGAGGAAUCUUGGUCAAUGGACGAGAGUCUGAACCAGCCAAGUAGCGUGAAGGAUGACUGCCCUAUGGGUUGUAAACUUCUUUUAUAUGGGAAUAAAAUGUUCCACGUGUGGGAUUUUGUAUGUACCAUAUGAAUAAGGAUCGGCUAACUCCGUGCCAGCAGCCGCGGUACUACGGAGGAUCCGAGCGUUAUCCGGAUUUAUUGGGUUUAAAGGGAGCGUAGGUGGAUUGUUAAGUCAGUUGUGAAAGUUUGCGGCUCAACCGUAAAAUUGCAGUUGAAACUGGCAGUCUUGAGUACAGUAGAGGGGGGCGGAAUUCGUGGUGUAGCGGUGAAAUGCUUAGAUAUCACGAAGAACUCCGAUUGCGAAGGCAGUUCACUGGACUGCAACUGACACUGAGGCUCGAAAGUGUGGGUAUCAAACAGGAUUAGAUACCCUUGUAGUC
rnacentral:rRNA from 1 species